UACAGGGGGUGCAAACGUUGCUCGGAAUUAUUGGGCGUAAAGCGCACGUAGGCGGUUCGUUAUGUCAGAUGUGAAAGCCCUUGGCUCAACUGAGGAAGUGCAUCUGAAACUGGCGAGCUAGAGUACGUAAGAGGGUCGCGGAAUUCCCGGUGUAGAGGUGAAAUUCGUAGAUAUCGGGAGGAACACCGGUGGCGAAGGCGGCGACCUGGGACGAUACUGACGCUGAGGUGCGAAAGCGUGGGGAGCAAACGGG
rnacentral:rRNA from 1 species